AAAUCUCAGGGGGACUCUCACAGAUUAUCUCCUAAUAUAUUUUUUAUUUGAUCUUUGAGGAUCAAUAUUAUUUUGAUCUGUUGUGGUGGCGCCCCUAAAAGGUGUGGGGCCCAUAAACUGGUGCUUCCACUGCCUAUUUGGUAAUCUAAAUAGGUAUACAUGAAAAAUCACAAAAUUUGUGAUUGACAGAAGGCCAGCCAAUCAGUGCUGCAUGCAGCUGCUUAUAAACUGGAAAACACAUUUCCCCUUGAAGUCGGUCUCUGUCAGUCAUGUAAACAGAAGCGUAAGAGGAGCUGGUCAGGCAAAAGCUUGCUGGGGGGGGUGCACGCUUACAGGGGUAGUCCUCUAGUUGUUAGGCUCCAGCUCCCAUCAGCCCCAGCCAACAUGACCAAUGGCCAGGUAUGGUGGGGGUUGUAGUCCAACCACAGCUGGAGAGACCAUGUUGACCACCCUUGUGCUAUUAUAUGAGCCAUCUCUCUGGUUUCCUUGACACACCAGUGUUAGCCAGGCCUCAGUCCAUUCCAUUUAAGAAUAGGUCCAAGGGAGCUUAUGUCGCUUUCAUCUCCUGGUCUUUCAACAUUGAAGAUAAGGUUAUCACUGUUCAUUAGCCAUGAUGGCUCUGCUCUGCUGCCAAGGCAGCAGUGCUUCUGAAUACCAGUUGCUAGAACCCAGUGGCGUGCGGUGAAUUUUUUCAUAGGGGAACAGUUAGAGCCAUCUAGUUUAACUGCCUGCAAGGCAGGAAUCUCCACUCAAGCUUCCCUGACAGAUGCCUAAAAAAUCUCCCAAGGAAGUCCAUUCCCCGGCCAGUCAAUUUGCCAGGUCCUAGCAGCUUGCAAAGUUUGGCUCUGCUCUUUUUUUUAAAAAAAUGCCCCAGGCAAAAGGGUGGAUCCCCCCCCCCACCAGAAAAACCACCAUUUUUAACACACACACACCAUUUCUUCAUCAUCUCCCUUUCUAUGAUUGUGGUGGUGUUGGUUGUUGCAUGUUGCUGCUGAUCCUUCAGGUUCUGGCAGAUUGGGGCUGGGAGGGGGGGUAUUUUAUUAAAACACCACGCUUUCAAACACAUUUGCAUGCGUGUGCACACACACAGUGGCUGAAGGAGAGGAGGGAGGAAGUGAGUUAUGAAGGUUGCAGGGAUCUUGUCUUCCGACCCCACGGGCACUUCAGGCUUUCCAACUGCUCUUCCUUAAAAAAUGAAGGAGAAAGGGCUGCAGUUCUGUUUCAAGUGGCCACUUCCUUCUCAAGUGUGUGUAUUGUUCUGCAACCCUGAGAGAGAGAGAGAGAGGCAUGCACACACAUACAUGGAGCCUGGAGACACUGGCUAAGCAGGUACCCAGAAAGGUAUUGCUGGGAACAUGAAGGGGACUAGGGUACUCCCACCAAUCCAUGGACCACACACUACGGCUAGAACCACGGGGGGGGGGGGCGUUUGUGUGCAGAUCCUGUUUACAGCUUUCCCACCAUGGGCAUCUGGUUGUCCAUUGUGAGAACAGGAUGCUGGACUAGGAGGGCCAAUGGCCUGAGCCACCAGGCUCUUCAUAUUCAUGCAGGGCAGUUGAUUUGCUUCUCAGGUUUCCCUGUGCCACUUAAACUUUUUUUUCUUUUUUAAAGGCAACAUCCCCAACUUGCAGAUCUGGAAGUAAUGAGUGUGUUGGGACUUAGGUGAUAUUGAGAUUAGGGAAUUUUUAGUUUAUGUUUCUAGCUAUGCACUUAAUUGUGUCCCUGCCAAAGGGGAAACUGUCCUACUUUGUCCUUAAGUAUAAAAAUUAGAUGAGAUCAAGUCAAGGUGGGGGCUCCAUUAAACCGCUGGGAUGUUCUGUUUCUCGUUUGCUGAAGCCUAUUUUGAACCGACUCUUCAAAUCAGGUUAAUUGACUGACCUGUUGCUUCAACCCACUUUUCCCAAAGCUUUCUAGCACUGGCUUCUUCAUAACCAGGCAGCAAAUUAAACAAAAAAAUAACACACACACAUACCUACAACCAAGAAGAAGGGGCUCUUUUGAAAACCUGU